rnacentral:rRNA from 1 species
GUGGGGAAUCUUAGACAAUGGGCGCAAGCCUGAUCUAGCCAUGCCGCGUGAGCGAUGAAGGCCUUAGGGUUGUAAGGCUCUUUCGUGGGGGAAGAUAAUGACUGUACCCCAAGAAGAAGCCCCGGCUAACUCCGUGCCAGCAGCCGCGGUAAUACGGAGGGGGCUAGCGUUGUUCGGAAUUACUGGGCGUAAAGCGCACGUAGGCGGACUGGAAAGUCAGGGGUGAAAUCCCGGGGCUCAACCCCGGAACUGCCUUUGAAACUCCCAGUCUUGAGUUCGAGAGAGGUGAGUGGAAUUCCGAGUGUAGAGGUGAAAUUCGUAGAUAUUCGGAGGAACACCAGUGGCGAAGGCGGCUCACUGGCUCGAUACUGACGCUGAGGUGCGAAAGCGUGGGGAGCAAACAGGAUUAGAUACCCGAGUAGUCC